AAUAAUAUGGAGCUAAGUGGUAUAGCGGUCGACUGCAGAUCGACAGGUCUCCGGUUCAGUCCCGGAUGGUUACUG